UACGUAGGCAGCGAGCGUUGUUCGGAAUUACUGGGCGUAAAGAGUGUGUAGGCGGUGCUCCCAGUCUGUUGUGAAAUCUCCCGGCUUAACUGGGAGGGUGCAGCGGAAACUAGAGUGCUAGAGGGUGGGAGAGGUAAGCGGAAUUCCUGGUGUAGCGGUGAAAUGCGUAGAUAUGCGGAGGAACACCGAUGGCGAAGGCAAUCCCCUGGGCCUGCACUGACGCUCAUGCACGAAAGCGUGGGGAGCAAACAGG
rnacentral:rRNA from 1 species